UAGGGAAUCUUCCACAAUGGACGCGAGUCUGAUGGAGCAACGCCGCGUGAGUGAAGAAGGGUUUCGGCUCGUAAAGCUCUGUUGUUAAAGAAGAACGUGGGUAAGAGUAACUGUUUACCCAGUGACGGUAUUUAACCAGAAAGCCACGGCUAACUACUUGCUAG
rnacentral:rRNA from 1 species